rnacentral:rRNA from 1 species
GAUCGACAGCCGGCCUGAGAGGGCACACGGCCACACUGGCACUGAAACACGGGCCAGACUCCUACGGGAGGCAGCAGUGGGGAAUCUUGCACAAUGGGGGAAACCCUGAUGCAGCGACGCCGCGUGAGCGAUGAAGCCCCUCGGGGUGUAAAGCUCUUUCGGCAGGGAAGAUUAUGACGGUACCUGCAAAAGCAGCUGCGGCUAACUACGUGCCAGCAGCCGCGGUAAUACGUAGGCAGCAAGCGUUGUUCGGAGUUACUGGGCGUAAAGGGUGCGUAGGCGGCUUGUUAAGUUUGGUGUGAAAUCUCCCGGCUCAACUGGGAGGGUGCGCCGAAUACUGAGAGGCUAGAGUGUGGGAGAGGAAAGUGGAAUUCCUGGUGUAGCGGUGAAAUGCGUAGAUAUCAGGAGGAACACCGGUGGUGUAAACGGCUUUCUGGACCAUAACUGACGCUGAGGCACGAAAGCGUGGGUAGCAAACAGGAUUAGAUACCCUGGUAGUCCACGCCCUAAACGAUGCAUAUUUGGUGUGGGCCAUUCAUUUGGUCCGUGCCGGAGCUAACGCGUUAAAUAUGCCGCCUGGGGAGUACAGUCGCAAGGCUGAAACUCAAAGGAAUUGACGGGGGCCCGCACAAGCGGUGGAGCAUGUGGUUUAAUUCGACGCAACGCGAAGAACCUUACCUGGGCUCGAAAUGCUAUGGACCAGCUGGUGAAAGCCGGCCUUCCCGCAAGGGACUGUAGUAUAGGUGCUGCAUGGCUGUCGUCAGCUCGUGUCGUGAGAUGUUGGGUUAAGUCCCGCAACGAGCGCAACCCUUGUCCUGUGUUGCCAUCAUUCAGUUGGGAACUCGCAGGAGACCGCCAGGGAUAACCUGGAGGAAGGGGGAUGACGUCAAGUCCUCAUGGCCUUUAUGUCCAGGGCUACACACGUGCUACAAUGGACGGUACAAAGGGCUGCCAACCCGCAAGGGGGAGCCAAUCCCAAAAAACCGUUCUCAGUUCGGAUUGCAGGCUGCAACUCGCCUGCAUGAAGCUGGAAUCGCUAGUAAUGGUGGAUCAGAACGCCACCGUGAAUACGUUCCCGGGCCUUGUACACACCGCCCGUCACAUCACGAAAGUGGGUUGUACUAGAAGUCCGCGCGCCGACCCGCAAGGGGGGCAGCGGCCCAAGGUGUGACUCAUGAUUGGGGUGAAGUCGUAACAAGGUAGCCGUAGGAGGACCUGCGGCUG